rnacentral:sRNA from 1 species
CUCAUUAGGAGUAACGAGUUGACACAAGGUAAAUGUUCACGUCGAGGCGCCUUUUCUCCCCCGGCCCGGGGAGGAGCCCUCAUUAACUGUCGCUAACAACCCGUGUAAAUACACUGAUUGGACAGCUCCGACACAGAGCCUGGCCCGGGCCCUGCCAGGAAGUCCCCUAAUGAG